AUUGAACGCUGGCGGCAGGCCUAACACAUGCAAGUCGAGCGAGUGGCGGACGGGUGAGUAAUGUCUGGGAAACUGCCCGAUGGAGGGGGAUAACUACUGGAAACGGUAGCUAAUACCGCAUACCAUCGGAUGUACCCAGAUGGGAUUAGCUAGUAGGUGGGGUAAAGGCGCACCUAGGCGACGAUCCCUAGCUGGUCUGAGAGGAUGACCAGCCACACUGGAAAUGAGACACGGCCCCGAACUCUACGGGAGGCAGCAGUGGGGAAUUUUGGGACAUGGGGGCAACCCCUGCGCAGCCAUGCCGCGUGAAUGAAGAAGGCCUUCGGGUUGUAAAGUUAUUUUGGUCGCGAGGCGUUAACUACAGAAGAAGCACCGGCUAACUCCGUGCCAGCAGCCGCGGUAAUAC
rnacentral:rRNA from 1 species